rnacentral:rRNA from 1 species
GAUGAACGCUGGCGGCGUGCCUAAUACAUGCAAGUCGAGCGAACAGACGAGGAGCUUGCUCCUCUGACGUUAGCGGCGGACGGGUGAGUAACACGUGGAUAACCUACCUAUAAGACUGGGAUAACUUCGGGAAACCGGAGCUAAUACCGGAUAAUAUAUUGAACCGCAUGGUUCAAUAGUGAAAGACGGUUUUGCUGUCACUUAUAGAUGGAUCCGCGCCGCAUUAGCUAGUUGGUAAGGUAACGGCUUACCAAGGCAACGAUGCGUAGCCGACCUGAGAGGGUGAUCGGCCACACUGGAACUGAGACACGGUCCAGACUCCUACGGGAGGCAGCAGUAGGGAAUCUUCCGAAAUGGGCGAAAGCCUGACGGAGCAACGCCGCGUGAGUGAUGAAGGUCUUCGGAUCGUAAAACUCUGUUAUUAGGGAAGAACAAAUGUGUAAGUAACUAUGCACGUCUUGACGGUACCUAAUCAGAAAGCCACGGCUAACUACGUG